UAAUUUGCCGACUUCCCUUACCUACAUUAAUCUAUCGACCAGRGCUUCUUACCUCGGAGACCGGCUGCGGAUAUGGGUACGCACUGGCCCGAGAUUAGGCGUCGCGGACUUUGGGGAGUCCGCUCGACCUCAGUUACCGCCCUCGCGUGUUUCACGGGCCGGCGGUGGCGCUCGGGACGCCGCAAGAACCGCGGCGCUCUACGGCUCACCGUGUUACAAACACCCUUUCUCUCUGCGAAUGGCUUCCAGGGUCACGGCGCCUUAAACAGAAAAGAAAACUCUUUCCCGGACCACCGCCGACGGACGCGAGCUGGUUCCCGUUACCGGGUUCCUGCACAGAGCAGCAUUCCCCUGCCCGGGGGGGCAAGGGCGCUUACACCUGCUAGGCAUCCGGGUCCUGGUUACGGAAUAAUGACCGUAUUCCCUUUCGCCACUAAUCCCCUCUGGCAACUCCCUGUGGGCUGCCAAGGCAAAGCUAAGCAAGCAAGCAAGCAAGCAAGC
rnacentral:rRNA from 1 species